rnacentral:tRNA from 1 species
AAGAGUAUAGGUUAAUGGUAAACUGUUUGUCUUCCAAACAAAUUAUGCUGGCUCGAUUCGGGCUAUUCGUA